ACAGGCAUGCACCACCACACCUGGCUAACUUUUGUAUUUUUACUAGAGAUGGAGUUUCACCAUGUUGCCCAAGCUGGUCUUGAAUUUCUGGGCUCAAGCAAUCUCCCUGCCUUGGCCUCCCAAAGUGCUGGAAUUACAGGAGUGAACCACUGCACCUGGCUGAAAUGUGACGGGGUCUCAUCCUGUUGUCCAGGCUGGAGUGCAAUGGUGUUAUCAGUGCUCACUGCAGGCUUAUCCUCCUGGGCUCAAGUGAUUCUCCCACCUCAGUCUCCCGAGUAGCUGGGACUACAGAGUCUUCUGCUGGUGCCCCAGAGGCUGCAUCCAGGCCCCGAGAACACUGAGGCCCCAAGAACACCGAGGGACUGUGCUGUCUGGCUGCUCAUGGAGCCUCCGGCCGGUGGCCCUUGCGGUGGAUGACCAGCUGAGACUUCCAGUCGAAGGCGCGGCCACAGUCACUGCAGAAGUGGCGCCUCUGGCCUGUGUGGCUCUUGCGGUGGAUGACCAGCUGCGACUUCCAGCUGAAGCUGCACCCGCACUCCUCGCACGGGUAGCUCCGGGGGCCUGUGAGUGAACGUCGGGGGUGGCGCGGAAAGGCCAGCUCCCCUUGUGGUGGCUUCUCUGUGCCUUCCCCGGUGGCUAGCCCUGGGGACUGCACACCUGGCCCACUCGUGUGUGUCCGGUGGUGGAUGACGAACACCGACUUCCAGUCGAAGCCGCGGCCACACUGCUCGCACGUGUAGGGCUUCCUGGGGGUGGCAACCGGCUCCAGUCUCGUCUCUGCAGGUGUGGGCUGAGUGGGCACUGGUGGUGUCCCUGGGCGCACAGUGGGGGCAGGAGUGGCAGCCCCAGACAAGCCCUCCCAGGCUGCAGGACCUGGGCCCUGGGGCGGCUGGGCCUCUGGGCAGCCGGGUGGACCCUCACUCUCAUUUCCUGGGGGCAGGGGCAAACCAGGUGAGUCCCGGCACUCGGCACCCCCUCCCUCAGGCUUGUGGCUGUGGCACAAGCUCCCGUGUCCCCAUGAGUGGGUGGCUCAGGUCCCACCCAUACAGGAGGGGUGAUUCAGGCUGGAUGGUGUGGGGCACUCACCCGAGUGCAGGCUUCUGCAGACGCCUGUCCCCGUGAGCAGCAUCCCCAGCUCUGACUGGGCUUGUGCCUCUGGCUGGUGGGGCGGUAACCCUGCCCAGGUGGGGGGCACAGUUAGGCGUGGGGUUUACAUGAAGGAGGGGUGGGGUCGGUUCUGGUAGGUGACAGGGUGCUCCUCUGGAAGGUGGGAGAGCUGGGUAGGGCUGGUAGCACAGAGGCCCUGCCCAGCUAGGCCUGCUGCAGGGUGGGUGCAGGCCCCAAGGAGAGGGGCGGGGUGGGGCUGGCUGGUCCUCACCCAGGGAGACCACCGUGCCGUACUUCUCCAGCAUCGCGUCCCAGUACAGUUCCUUCUGUGACCGGUCCAGCAGCCCCCACUCCUCCUGCGGAUGUGGCCCAUCACUGUAGGCGUCCUUCCACCCCUCCCCUGCCCUGUCUGGUUCACAUUCUUACCUAUUAACCCGGGGGGGUCAGCAGGUUACCUAGGCCUCAUCUGCCCCUCCUGCUGAGAAUGAUCUCGAGGUGGGUGUUUGUUAAGUGCUGGGUUCUCCUUCAGACCACCUGACUAGUGCUGCCGCCAGCGCUCAUCCCCCUCUACUACCCCCUCCUGCUGAGAGGGCAGGCUUGGCAGCAUCACAGGGACCUGAGUGACUUUAUCGAGGAAUGAACUCCCUGAUUGGGGGUCAGCCCUCCUUGCUGCCUGAGUCCCAUCAUCUGGGGCUUUGCUGGGUUGGGAAAAAUAAUCCUGAGGGACAAGCUGUGGCAAGUCCAGGGACAGGAAGGUGGCAGCUGUGAGGAGCCACAGCUAGAGAUGGUGCUGGCUGGAGGUGAGGACACUGGCAAGUGCAGCCUACCCACCCUGCCUCACUUUCUGACUGUGCCAUGGGGCUGUGGAGGGAGCCUGGAAGGACUUCUUAGCCUCAAAACACAUCUCAGCCAGCAAUGUUGCUGCUGAAGCUCCCCAGUGAGGUUGUCAGAAGCAGAGGAGCCGGGAGAGGAAAAGACCUCGCUACCCACACUUGGGAACCAAGUGAUCCAGGUAGAAGGGGCCUCAAGCUGAGCUUCUAGGCCCACAGGUGGCCUCUGAGAAAACCCCUGGGAGAGAAGGGACUUAGGGCAUUUCCCAGGGAGAGUGUCUCCAUCUGGUCUCAGGCGUGGGGGGAGUCCUGCCACAGCUGGUCAUCUUUUCCCCUCCCCAGCUACGCACGAAAGUUCAAAUCCCCAGGUCUGGCUCAGGACCUCUGGGAGCAGCAAACCUCCCAAAUGACUUCUCCGGAGGUGAGGAAGCCAAGCCCACUAGUUCCAGCCACUCUAAACUGGGUUUCCAUGGCUUGAGGCCCAAAUCCUUUUUUUUUGUUUUUGACACAGAAUUUUGCUCUUGUUGACCAGGCUGGAGCGCAGUGGCACAAUCUCGGCUCACUGCAACCUCUGCCUCUUGGGUUCGAGCGACUGUGCUGCCUCACCCUCCCUAGUAGCUGGGAUUACAGGCACCUGCCACCACUUCUGGCUAAUUUUUGUAUCUUUAGUAGAGACAGGGUUUCACCACACUGGCCAGGCUGGUCUCGAGCUCCUGACCUCAGGUGAUCCGACCACCUUGGCCUCCCAAAGUGCAAGGAUUACAGGUGUAAGCCACCAUGUCCAGCCCCAAAUCCUUUUCAAUAAUAGAUCACCAGUCUGUCCCUCUGCCCCAGGUCCUGUGGAAGGGUACAGCUGUUACAGACUCCACUUCUGGGAAGCAAAGAGCCACUAGUCAGAGCCUGGAAAACCACCAGGCAGAGGGCAGCCAUGGGGACAGUCCCUUCCCACACCUGGGGCCUACACUUCCCACUUGGGGCUGCUCACCUGCAUCCUGGGUGGGUGGAAGGAUGUGGAGGCUGGUUCUUGGUGUCCAUGCUGCCCCUCAGGGGACUGCGCUGCAAGUGGAGGGCUGGAGGGUGCUGAAAAGUGGGGCAGAUGGAAGGGUGGUGUCAGGGGCUGCCCACAUGAGCCAUGGCAGAUGAGGAGCUCUUCUGCUGUGUGACACGGCACGUAGCCAGCCCUUGGCUCCUGCCUCCCAGGUCCCCAUCCCAGACAGGGGCAUCCACAUUCACUUCAGGAGUCCCAGCCUUGACACACCUCUCCUGGGACUCCCACCCUAGCCAGGAAUGUCCACACUUCCUCCAGGAGUCCCUCAUCUCUGGUGGGACCCCAACCUCACCCACUUCCUGUCCAUCGACAUUGGGCUCCUCCUUCACACUGCAGCUGAGCUGGACAGACCCCUCUAUUCUGGUGUCCUGGGGACCCUCCCCAGGGGACUCCACUGUCCCUGAGGGGUGGGGGCUCCCCAGUGGUUCCUCUGUCUUCUGGGCUGCAGGGAGCACCUCCCGCUUCAGGACAUGGGCUGUGAUCUGAGGAGAAGAGGUAGGUCACAAUGGCUCUAGCCAGGGUCUAUCCCUCCAAGAAGCUGACGCCAGCCACACUCACCCAGCCCAACAGUUGCCCAGGGUCAUGCUGCAGUCCUUCGACUAGGGCAGCGGCCUCCUCAGGACUCCCUGGCCGCUGACCGCGCACCCAGGCCUGGAUCUCGGGAGGCAGUGUGCCCAGGAACUGCUCCAGCACCAGCAUCUCCAGCAUCUGCUCCUUGGAGUGUGCCUCAGGCUGCAGCCACUGGCGACACAGCUCACGCAGCCGGGCCAGGGCCUCUCGGGGACCUGCCACCUCCUGGUAGCAGAACCCUCGGAAGCGGAGGCGGGCAGUCUCAGGCUCCUCAAGGGUGGUCUCUGGGUCCAUGAGGGGCAGGCAUGGGGGACCCAGAGGGGAUGGCAUUCUUGCUCAAGGGGGUGGUCUUGGAAUCGUCAGGAUGGGCCUACAGAAAAGGAAGGGUCAGAAUGUCAGCCAAGAGAAUCUGGCCAGGGGAAGGCUGAGACCAGGACCAAGUGUACUCUGCGGCCAGAGGAGGUAAGGCCAAGAAAGCUUCAUGGAAGGAGGAGGGUCACAGGACCUAAACAAUGAUGGCAAAUGAGAGCAGGAGGAGGCCUCAGGGACAAACGCUUGGACGCAAAGUGUCCAGGGAGCUUCCUGGAAAUUGCAAACAGUUGGGUCCAACAGGGGACUGCUGGGAGAUGACGGUAAAGAGGCGGAGGACAGUCACCACAGAGUUCCAGCACCAGGCUGAGGUGCCACAGACAGUGUCCAGCCGAGAUGCGAGGAGAGUGGGCCAGGGCGGGCGGGUUCCCUGAGGGUGGAGGAGGCAGCGGGUAGAAGGUGGGGCCAGGCUGUAAUUACGGGGACGAGUCUCCCUCCACAAUCUCGGGGAUGAUGACUGGGUGGGACCUCCUUUAGGACUGGCUCUGGGGAGGGGGCACGUGGACAUCGUGCUCCCUGACCACAGCGAACCGUGGACGACUCACUGCCGGGGCCCGUGCAUGUAAAAACGAAACGCAAAGGCCAAGAAAAACGGGGCCAAAGCUCCACGUUGCCCCGAGUCGAGGGAUGGCCACAGCAUCCCGGCCCUGACGGUCUGCAGUGAAACACGCCCACCUGGACGGGCCUGAGACCAGGCCUGACACCCGGCCUCUCCGAGGGAUGCUCGAACUUCGGGAUCUGUCCCCAAAAGGGGAAGGCAAGAGGGAGGCGUUCCAAGAGGACGUGCUUGGCCCGGCCCCCCGAAACGGCGUUGAGGGGAGGAAAGGCCUGAGCGAAGGCUGAGGUGACGCGCGCGGCCUGUCGGGAAAGGGGCGGGCGGGCCCUCCAGGGCGCCGACAGCAGGAGCCGUUCAGGCCCCAGAGGGCGGCCCCAAACCCUCCCACGGGGUGGAAAGGCUGCGCCCACUCUGGCAGCCUGCGCUCACCUCAACCCGGAGCCGUUGCUUGGGGGCCGCUUCCCGAUGUGGCGCCGCCGCGCUGACCAAUCUCUCGCCUGCACCGAAGGCACCGCCCACGCCCUUUGAACUACAUUUCCCAUGAGCAUCAGCAAGACAGGCACGACCGUGACCCGCCGACCCGCAUUUGCAUCAGUCUCUGCCUGAGAGGCGCUCUGUUCCUCAGGAGGUACAGCAGAGUCCCAGAGUUAUAUGGGCUCCCUCCGCUCUGAGAGCAGCUCUUCCCAGGUUAUAAAUCUGCGCGUCUGUACAGUGGGCCGGUUCCUAUUGGCAGGUGAGGGGAGGAGGUUUUGCCCAAUCAGAGGUGGCGCUUGCUUGGCCCCGCAGCCCCCACGCCAUUCCCCGGGCCAGCCCCCAGAUAACGCUAGGGCAUAUCCGCCCGCCUCCAGCUGUUCCCGUGGCAACGUUCAGGAGCGUUGCCUCGACUUCCAAAGAGGCUGGAAGUGGCGGCCCAGUGGUUUCCUGGGUCGAGUAGUUCGCUGGGACUCGCUUCCAAGUGGUCCCGGGAGAGGCGGUGGUGUAGAAGAGCACCCUGAGCCUGGGCUUUCUCCCGCCAGGAGGGUGGGAGGGCCUUCUUUGACCUCUGUUAAGCGCCCUGAGGAGGUACCGACGGUUGUGACCGCAGUCUCUGACGUCUUCAGAUGUCAGUCCUACAAAGUCGGGGGUGCAGGUUUCCCUCCAGGCUGAUGGGACGUGCUCAGCCGUUUAUUUACCUUUUAAUUUGGGGAGCUGAACUAGCCAGGUUUACACUAGUUUCUCCCAAUAAGCAGUGUUACAGUUUUCUAAAACUGUGGGGUCAGUUUUGCUUCCACACUUAAGGUGGCCGAGCUAUGACUUAUUCAGUCCUAAAUUACACCGCCUGUUUUGGUUUCUUUGGAUACCCGGGAAUCCCUGCUGCCUGCUCUGGAUGAAGAGCAAUGGUUUUAAUCACCGAUUGGAAGCACCGAGCAUGUGCAUGGAUGAGACUAGUCAACUCGGAGCUUUCCAGAGGCCUCCUCAGGUUGUUUUUGGGGAUGAAGUGCUUACGCCUUUUCUCUGGGACUAUGCAGAGUCCCAGAAAAAAAAAAAAAAAAAAAACUUCCACCCUCCACCGUGUGGGGAGAUCACUGGGGCGUUAAGGGCUUCUUCAGUAGUUGUUCCCCAGGCAGCUUUGUUACAGGUCUCCCAUCUCUGGGCUGCUGGUUCUCAGCCUUCUGCGGUUCUAGAGUCAGCCUGGUGGGAACUCCCUCCUCUUCCCCAAGUCGUCACGCAGUAUUUGGCCUUCCUUAGUGACAGCUCUCAUCCACUUCUAGCUUAGGAAUGCCAUUGCUCCUGACUCCUCUGUCACCAUCCUCAUACUUGUGGGUUUAUGUGUUUUAAAUACUCCCCUCUAUGGUUUCAGUGGAUUUCUGAGCCCAGUAAGAUGUAUGUGUUCGGUCUGACCUUUUGACAUAGAAGCCCAGAGAUACUUUUACAGUCACUACCUAUUCAAAAUUAAGAGCAGAGGGGGAGGUUGGAGGGAGGUCAGCUGAGGGGCCAAGACCUGCGUGGAGGCGGGAGCCUAGGUUGGGGACCACUGAUCAGUCAUGGGUUUGGGGAGGAGGAGAUUGGAGGAAGGUGGACAAACUGAGGGACAACAGGGGCACAAGCAGACGUGGAAAGGAGCCUGAUGGAGGGAGGCGGCUGGUGGGAAGACAAGGUAGGGUACUGAGCCCAGCCUAAGUGGUCAGGCAGGCUCAGGGCAGAAACUUCGCUCAAGAAGCAUCUAUCAGAGGCACAGAAAUGAUUUCACGUGACUCUCUGGGUAUCUACUUGUUUGACAGAUGCUUUUGCUCCUGACUCCCAUGGGCUCCCCAGAAAAGUGCUCUUUCAGGCAGGGAAGAGUUAUUGUCUGCAUUUCACAGCUCUGCAGACUUAGUGGGGGACAGUGGUUCAGGGACCUACUGGGAUUCUGGUGGCCCAAGUCUUGCAGGCUCCAGGGCAGCUGGGUUCUGUGUGUCUCCACUCCCUGCAGGAACCUGUGAGGUUUCACAGGUGGAAGAGCCUGGCCCCAAUAUCAAGUGGGUGGGGCCUAGGUCUCGGCUCUUUGUGUAUAGGGCAUGAUAGCUGCAAGAUUUUGGAAGCCAUAGGAUACAGCGUCCACUGGGUGGAGUCAACCUUGCAGGGUCAUCACACAUGGCCACGCCCUCUAUCUCAGCAGAAGAAACACAGCCCCGCCUUGGUUUCUCCACCUACCUUCCUCCCAUUGCCAGGAUCCACCAGGACUCAUCUAGCAGAGCUGCUGCUCCAGACGGCCCCACUCUAUCCCGUUUCAGCCAGCUCCUGGCUACCCGGACCCACCUCUGGCCCUGAAAAGGAUACAGGUAUCCCACUCCCUCCCUGGGCUGCAGACAGGCUGUAUCUCUACUCUGUGGCCUCUUGAGGGUACCCAGGUUGAAGCCAAGUCCAGGAACUUCUGUGAUGAUGACAAACGCUGAUGGCAUGUCAGGGUAUGUUCAAUACCAUCUGCAUUGUAUGAGGGUGAAAUAGGUGUCAGGUUGCUACCAUUCACACAAAUGUUUAAAAAGAAACCUUUAUCAGAGAAGCUCUUCAACUGUUAAGACUGAACCAUGCUCUGGAGUAGGGACAAGAGGCUGUGCUCUGGAGGUCCAAACUGCUGUACAGGAAACUGCAACAUCUACUCUCAGUUGCAGAUGGUAGUUUUUUUUUUUUUUUUUUUCCCAUUAAGGAGAACAUGAAUUUCCUUGGAAGUGAGGCUCCAGGUAGGGACAGGGACUGGUCUGCUGAAGGCCACAGGAAGCAAA